rnacentral:rRNA from 1 species
GACGAACGCUGGCGGCGUGCCUAACACAUGCAAGUCGAACGGAAAGGCCCUGCUUUUGUGGGGUGCUCGAGUGGCGAACGGGUGAGUAACACGUGAGUAACCUGCCCUUGACUUUGGGAUAACUUCAGGAAACUGGGGCUAAUACCGGAUAGGAGCUCCUGCUGCAUGGUGGGGGUUGGAAAGUUUCGGCGGUUGGGGAUGGACUCGCGGCUUAUCAGCUUGUUGGUGGGGUAGUGGCUUACCAAGGCUUUGACGGGUAGCCGGCCUGAGAGGGUGACCGGCCACAUGGGGACUGAGAUACGGCCCAGACCCCGACGGGAGGCAGCAGUGGGGAAGAUUGCACAAUGGGCGGAAGCCGGAUGCAGCAACGCCGCGUGCGGGAGGACGGCCUUCGGGUUGUAAACCGCUUUCGCCUGUGACGAAGCGUGAGUGACGGUAAUGGGUAAAGAAGCACCGGCUAACUACGUG